rnacentral:tRNA from 1 species
UCCAAUUAGAAAAUUCGUAAUAAUAACGAAAUAAAUAAUUUAUUUAGUAUAAAAAAUACAUCUGACU